rnacentral:rRNA from 2 species
CAGUGGCGAACGGGUGAGUAACACGUGGGCAAUCUGCCCUGCACUCUGGGACAACACCGGGAAACCGGUGCUAAUACCGGAUAUGACGCACUCCUGCAUGGGGGUGCGUGGAAAGCUCCGGCGGUGCAGGAUGAGCCCGCGGCCUAUCAGCUUGUUGGUGGGGUGAUGGCCUACCAAGGCGACGACGGGUAGCCGGCCUGAGAGGGCGACCGGCCACACUGGGACUGAGACACGGCCCAGACUCCUACGGGAGGCAGCAGUGGGGAAUAUUGCACAAUGGGCGAAAGCCUGAUGCAGCGACGCCGCGUGAGGGAUGACGGCCUUCGGGUUGUAAACCUCUUUCAGCAGGGAAGAAGCGCAAGUGACGGUACCUGCAGAAGAAGCACCGGCUAACUACGUGCCAGCAGCCGCGGUAAUACGUAGGGUGCGAGCGUUGUCCGGAAUUAUUGGGCGUAAAGAGCUCGUAGGCGGCCUGUCGCGUCGGAUGUGAAAGCCCGGGGCUUAACCCCGGGUCUGCAUUCGAUACGGGCAGCCUAGAGUUCGGUAGGGGAGAUCGGAAUUCCU